GCACCCCAUCCCGGGCCACUGCCCACCCUUUCCCCGACCUGGACCUCUCCUGGCGGUUUGCUCUAGGCGUCCUCUCCUCAAGGCGCACCGCGGUGACCUGCAGACCUGCAGACCUGCUGACAGACGCAAGACAGGGUUCUAUUUAUUUAUAGAGAGAGAGCGAAAGCGAGAGAGAUCACAGAGGGAGAGGGAGAAGCAGACUCACCACUGAGUGGAGAGCCCCAUGCCGGGCUCUAUCUCAGGACCCUGAGAUUAUGACCUGAGCCGAAGGCAGACGCUUAACUGACUGAGCCACCCAGUGUACCAUGAACAUUUCUUCCAUGCACAAGGGUGAAAAUUCCCUACUGAAAGACGGAGAACACUGUAGUUGGAUCAAAAGGCUGCUGGUAACAAGAGUGACACCUAAAGCAAAAUAUCAGCUUAAGGUUAAAGCACAUAGCCUGGCAAAUGCCUGCCAGGGAAAGCAGCGGCAGCAAUAUUCUCAUCAGAGAAAACAAAAUUGAAGGCCAAAGGCAUUAAAGAUAUGGGAUAUCA